rnacentral:sRNA from 1 species
UGAACACCAAGCUGAAGAGUGAAAUUAGUGUUGGUUGUGCUGCUAGAAAAUAGCAUUAUGAGAAAUAAAAAUCUAAUGUUAGAAACUUCAAUAGGUUUUUUGUUAUUGUUGUUGUGUGUGUGCGUGUAUGUGUGUGUAUGUGUUUUUAAGUAGUAGGAUUGAACCCAGGGCCCAGCCCUUCAA